rnacentral:lncRNA from 11 species
GACAAAGUGGUGGGAAUCAACAGAGCCACUUGGGGCUGGGGCCCUUCCUCCUCCUCUCUCAUAAGCAAGAUUGGUGAAUGUGCCCCUGAUGAUGUUCAAUAAAAUAUUAAACAAAUUUACCAUAAAAUCCUUAAACAAAAAAAAGAAAAUAUGGUACAAAAAGACCUGUCCACCACACUGAAACAAAGAAGUCUCUAUCCCCUGUUUUGAGGCCCCGGGGAGCCAGUGAAGCCUUCCUUACCAGUGCUGGUGGGCCCCUGGCUCCAUGCCUGCCAUGUUACCCUGGAUGCCUCUGCUCCUGCAGCCAGGGAAGAAGGAAUGCCGCUCCACCUGGAAGGGUGACAAAAACAUCGUACUCAGAGAUAGUCAGAGAAGUGACACCUGUCCCUUGGCUGUGCCCAUCUGGAUUUAAACUCCUUUUUCCUGUAGGUUGCAUAAAUAAAUAAAUAAAUAAGACAAAUAAUAGCCCAU